GUAACAGCCAACCGAAACCGUACCAUUCAACUCGGGGAUCCUAUGGAAGAAGAAGAAGAUGAAGCAGAGGAAGAGGCACUGCUGAAGUCAUCUUAUGGUUGUUCUUGGAAAAAUAUGAUUCAAACUACCCAAUACCCAUCAUCACUAUUUUCAAUUAAGAUAUUCUUGUUCCUGGGAAUGCAAACGCUGGAAAGUUCAAUACAAAGGCAAAUCUCCAGGUGAAUCUAUCCAAUAAUAGGGACAAUAUCCGAACGCUAAGUCUUGUGCUUAUCUUGAGAGUGGUUUAAUACUUGCUAAGAGUGGCAAUCCUGUUUUAAUAUCAAGUCUGGUCUUUCCGCAGCACAAGAGUUAUAGUGAUAUUUUCGAGAAAUGAUCCCCUUGUGCUUUCUUCCUCAGGAACCUCCACCUUAAAUAUUCCAGUGGGUAAUCACACUGCAGUGUAAGGUGGAGGUCCUGAGGAAGAAAACACAAGGUUCAGUUCAUAUGUAUUUAUUACAACUACAGCUUAUCUUUUUGGGGGUACUGAGUUUACUAUUAAACUUGUGUUUUAGAAAUGUCAGACUUCGAUAUAGAGGGUUUCAGCAUAAUGUGUAGACUACUCAAUUUUGGCAUCAGUAUUCUCAGCUAUUAGUAGAGAGGUUGAUAUGUACUUUCUUUCUUGUGUUUGAUAUGCUAAUUGAGCAAAUGUAGACAUUGUGAUACUGGGGUAUAUAUCUUCUUCUAUCUAUGCCAAUUGACAA